GUCGAACGAAGUAGUAAUACUUAGUGGCAGACGGGUGAGUAACAUGUAGGUAUCUGCCCUUUGGCCUGGAAUAACACGAGGAAACUUGUGCUAAUACCGGAUAAGUCUUUACGGAGAAAGCUUUAUGCACCAUUGGAUGAGCCUGCACUUGAUUAGUUUGUUGGUGGGGUAAUGGCCUACCAAGACUGUGAUCAAUAGCUGAUUUGAGAGGAUGAUCAGCCACAUUGGGACUGAGACACGGCCCAAACUCCUACGGGAGGCAGCAGUGGGGAAUCUUGCACAAUGGAGGAAACUCUGAUGCAGCGAUGCCGCGUGAGUGAAGAAGGCCUUUGGGUUGUAAAGCUCUUUCGUCGGGGAAGAAAAUGACUGUACCCGAAUAAGAAGGUCCGGCUAACCUCGUGCCAGCAGCCGCGGUAAUACGAAGGGACCUAGCGUAGUUCGGAAUUACUGGGCUUAAAGAGUUCGUAGGUGGUUGAAAAAGUUGGUGGUGAAAUCCCAGAGCUUAACUCUGGAACUGCCAUCAAAACUUUUCAGCUAGAGUAUGAUAGAGGAAAGCAGAAUUUCUAGUGUAGAGGUGAAAUUCGUAGAUAUUAGAAAGAAUACCAAUUGCGAAGGCAGCUUUCUGGAUCAUUACUGACACUGAGGAACGAAAGCAUGGGUAGCGAAGAGGAUUAGAUACCCUCGUAGUCCAUGCCGUAAACGAUGUGUGUUAGACGUUGGAAAUUUAUUUU
rnacentral:rRNA from 1 species